UGCGUAGGCGGCUAUUUAAGUUUGGUGUGAAAUCUCCCGGCUCAACUGGGAGGGUGCGCCGAAUACUGAGUGGCUAGAGUGUGGGAGAGGAAAGUGGAAUUCCUGGUGUAGCGGUGAAAUGCGUAGAUAUCAGGAGGAACACCGGUGGUGUAAACGGCUUUCUGGACCAUAACUGACGCUGAGGCACGAAAGCGUGGGUAGCAAACA
rnacentral:rRNA from 1 species